rnacentral:lncRNA from 1 species
AGGAAACAGAACGGAUGCUUAAUUUAUGCUCCAAAUCAAAUCAAAGACGAGCAAAGUGAACGAGACAAUUAUUGCGGCUGAGAUACGCGGUUCAGUGGUCAAACCUCGAAGGCUCAUGAUUUCCUUCCUUCAAGAUGACAAGCAAAGAGAGGCACGCAUUUACCUGGAAAUUGAAGUCAGGAUAUGAAGACGUCCGACCAAAAUGCCAUUUUCAAAUUCGGAUCUUAAGCGGGGUUGAGGCCCCCCUCGCC